rfam:Helicobacter canadensis MIT 98-5491 chromosome, whole genome shotgun sequence.
CGGAGUAUAGCGCAGCCUGGCUAGCGCACACCCUUGGGGUGGGUGAGGUCGUGGGUUCAAAUCCCGCUACUCCGA